rnacentral:sRNA from 1 species
AAAAAAAAUGGGCGCAACGCCCAUCUUUUUCAACCGAGAUCGCACUCAGGGCAGAAAGAAAACUACGUGCCCAGCGACUUCAUGAUUUUAGCCAUUU